AUUUUCUCUUUUAAGAUACAUCAUUCCUCAGCAAGCGGUUAGCUUAGAAAUGAGGUUACUCCAUGAAAGACUUUUGUGGGUGCGUUCAUGUCAGAGGAAUCAGGAAAUAGAUCAGCUGCUGCGCACUGACUCAUGCCUUUGCAGCUUCUCCUUCAUGCAUUGCAGUGAGGCCAACCCACCAUAAGCACCACCUUUUCCAUCACACAUUUAAGACCUAUUUGGUCUGUAAUAAUUAAAGAAACCCGCUAGCUUUCUUGUGAUUUUGUGGUGGUAUUUAACAGUGAUCUCCCAGUUUUCCCUAUGGGAGCACAGUUAGGGCAAAGCCACCCUCAGAAGUAAUGGAUGAAAGGAGUGUUCUCUUGCAGAAAGUACCACUAUCUUUGUUAAUGCCAGACAACAAAACACUUUGUGCAGGAGCUGUGAUGGGCUUCUGCCUCCCUGUACCUUGGAAGAAAUAGGCUAGAUGGGCCCCGCUGGAGCUUUAACACACAGCACCAGGGACAAUAAUUUGUUCACAAUUUGUGCUUAGACGUGUAGGCUGCGCCUUCUGGCUUUCCCAUAGGAAACAAAUGAUGAUAAACAGCAUGAAGCAACGACAUUUAGCUGUGCUUUUAUAUUGCCUUUUUGAUGAUUUUGUUCAUAUUGUGAGAGCCCCUAUGCUUUUUCAAGUUCUUCCCUUUACUCUGAAGAGACAACUAGCCUGUGUCCAUAACUGAACUGACUACUUUUUACCCUCUAUGGUAUUUUAAUAGUCCAGCCAGUUGCUUCAUCUUAUCAGUGCUGUUCAUUCAGAUUGCUAUGGCUUUUUCUGUGGACCUCUCCAAUGUUUCCAGGUCUCACUAAAUGGCAACACAGCCUUCUGGUGUAUCAGCUACUCCUCCCAGCUUUGUCUUAUCAGUAUUCUUGCUGAGGGUGUACUCUGCACUCUGUCCCUUUGUCCAGAUCACUGCUGAAGGUAUUAAGUGGGACCAGACCCUCAUGCCACUGAAAAGUAUGGGCCAGCCACGCUAGGCUGCCUCCACACUAUCUGCCCAGCAGAGACGUUCUUAACUGCAGCAGUAGUGAGUAUUUCUUCAUCCUGUGUCACAAAAGUUUCCCGAUGUUUAAAGUUUUGGGGUGGAUCCCUUCCUUUUCUACAAAGAUUGCCAAUUGUAGUGCUGAUUUUCUGAGUAACAGUCCAAUAGGCACUAGAGCAGCACCAGUAACUCUUUUUGCAGAUGUCCUCUUGGCUCCCUGGGGAGCUGCUGCAGUGCUGCACGAGGAUGGCAUCGCUUUUGCACCUUCAGGGAUGCCUGCAGGAAUGGAUAUCUCAGAGGGUUAGGCUUCAGCCAGUCUCAUUGUCCUUGCUAGGCACAACUUCAGGGCUGGUUUCAGCUCCCUCCUGAUCAGCUCCAUUGCAAUACUGUUGUGCUGCCUCUCUCCUGCUGAUGAUCACCAAGGUUACAGCCUGUGGCUCCAGAGCUAUGUUUUGGCCUAUCAAAUGUUAUGCAUGAGUCUGCUUGUGCUGGAAGAGGACUCUCCCUUCCUUCACUAAGACUAAUUUUACUACAGGUUUUCAGUUACUGAAUGAUAAUUUCACACCACUCUUAUAUUUUAUCCAUAGGAAGAGAGUACCAGCACCGACCCAACAAGAGCUUCUCACAGGCUCAAGUCAACUUGCUCACCCUUUUGAGUUCUGCUCUGUGGAUACCCUUCAGCUUGAGCUAUGUGGUGGUGGUUGAUGUUCAUCUACUGCCCAAAAAUGGACUAGAAGUGGAAAGAAAAAUGGAAUCUGUGUGGAAGAGAGUGCUGAAACUGGGAGAAUAGUAGCACAUAAUGAUGGCACAGGGGAAAUUUCUCUGCCUGUCUGUUUCUGCCUGCCCAUCCAUCCACCGAAUGCUAUGCGCUGCUGUUUCCCCAGCUGGCAACUGCCCCAUCCGGCUGCACCAGUGCCUUUUACUGCAGAGACAUGGAAGGGGAGGUGUGGACAGGCUGCCAGGGGUGUGUUUAGCCCACCAACGAUGAGCACUGCAAAAAACCAUCAGGGCAGCCCACGCCUUGCUGUGGGUCUGUGCAAGGCUGCUUGGGCCUCUGCCUGCUCCUUUGGCAUCUGGGCGGCUGCUGCAACCCGCCUCCCUGCUGACACAGAGGUUCCUCCCCAGUGCAAAAACAAAUGGCUGAGCACCACGUGCUUCAUUUCACACAGGGCAGAAGCUAGGGCAAGCCCUGUCACUCACCCGCAGAUAUUUUGGCAGCGUCAGUAGAUAUCUGCAUGGGGAAUUUCAGUCCCUGCCCAUCUCCAGUGACAGCACGCUCUCUCGCUGAGUGUGGCAUUUGCUAAUCAUUAUUCCAGUGCAGAGAGCAGUUUUGAAGCUCUUCAGUCACAAGAAGCACAUUCCUCUGGGUUUACCCUUCUCACGUUACUGGCGGUGGUGUGACCCCAGUAGCAAUUUGCGCUUCUCAAGUGAGGUGGGCACUGGCCUCCCAUGUCCUGGUGCAAGGUGGGCGAGUCCCUCCUUGCUUCACCUCUUCUGUCAAUGGAGAACACUAUCUGUAAGAUAACGGCCUGCCACGCUGGGUACAUGUUCAGAGUCAGUCCUGCACAUUGUCGGGGUUGACAUUGGGAACUGGCAUAUGUUGAUGCUGCUGCACCUACACAUGUGUCUGUGGGGCCUUAGCUGGGGAAUCUGAUUAAUUUCAGACGUGCUUCUGCUGAAGGUCCCCCUGUUUAGUAAAGCUACCACGAAUGUGUUAGAAUAAUUUUCCCCCCUUGAUUUAGGGCUUUAUGCCACAGGUCCUUAACUCUUAGUGGAGUCUGGCCAGACAGCGGAAUGUGCACUUUGUAUUUCUGAAAUGAAUGAGAUGUUCACAUGUGAAAUGGACGGGUGAGUUUUUGGCAGUGCUGAGCAGUUACAACUACUGCCACAUCCACUCGGAGCACGUUGGCACACAGCACUCUGGAAAAUUAGGCCAUGUUUCUCCAGUGCAAGAGGCUCAUUGAUGUGAGGGACAUCAAAUGCGUAAAAUUAUUUGCACUUCGCUUCUUAAUAACAAUAAAAGGAUGACUCAUAA